ACAUCUUUAGCUGAAUGGUACAGCAUUUGCCUUCGAAGUAAUAAGUUAUUGGUUCGAAUCCAAUAAGAUGUC
rnacentral:tRNA from 1 species